rnacentral:rRNA from 1 species
AGCAGUAGCCACGGGAAUACGUAGGUGGCAAGCGUUGUCCGGAAUUAUUGGGCGUAAAGGGCUCGCAGGCGGUUUCUUAAGUCUGAUGUGAAAGCCCCCGGCUCAACCGGGGAGGGUCAUUGGAAACUGGGAAACUUGAGUGCAGAAGAGGAGAGUGGAAUUCCACGUGUAACGGUGAAAUGCGUAGAGAUGUGGAGGAACACCAGUGGCGAAGGCGACUCUCUGGUCUGUAACUGACGCUGAGGAGCGAAAGCGUGGGGAGCGAACAGGAUUAGAUACCCGAGUAGUCCCUGUCUCUUAUAC